AACUAACGCUGGCGGCGUGCCUAACACAUGCAAGUCGUACGAGAAAGUCCGCUUCGGUGGAUCAGUAAAGUGGCGCACGGGUGAGUAACGCGUGGAUAAUCUACCCCUCAGUUGGGAAUAACGUACCGAAAGGUGCGCUAAUACCGAAUGACACUGCACAUCUUCUGUUGUGUAGUCAAAGAUGGCCUCUGCUUGCAAGCUCUCGCUGAAGGAUGAGUCCGCGUACCAUUAGCUAGUUGGUAGGGUAAUGGCCUACCAAGGCAACGAUGGUUAGCUGGUCUGAGAGGAUGAUCAGCCACACUGGAACUGAGACACGGUCCAGACUCCUACGGGAGGCAGCAGUGAGGAAUAUUGCGCAAUGGGGGCAACCCUGACGCAGCAACGCCGCGUGAGUGAGGAAGGUUUUCGGACCGUAAAGCUCUGUCGAGCGGGAAGAAAUGCACGAUGGCUAAUAUCCAUCAUGCUUGACGGUACCGCUAAAGGAAGCACCGGCUAACUCCGUGCCAGCCGCCGCAGUAAAAC
rnacentral:rRNA from 1 species